UGGAUCCUGCAGUUUGCUUUCA
rnacentral:miRNA from 1 species